UCGCCUGUUUAUCAAAAACAUUGCUCUCUGAACCUUGAUAAAGAGUACCUCUGCCCAGUGAUUAGAUUCAACGGCCGCAGUAAACUUGACUGUGCUAAGGUAGCACAAUAAUGUGCCCCUUAAUUGGGGGAUAGAAUGAAUGAACAAACACAGAAUAAACUGUCUCCACUAUACCAAUAUAAAUUUAUCUCCAAGUGAAAAAGCUUGAAUUUUCCUAAAAGACAAGAAGUCCCUCGAACCUUCCUCUAUACACGUACACUAAACAUAUUAUAGAUUUAGUUGGGGCGACAAAGAAUACAAUCAUACUUACUCUAUAGGAGCAUCCUCCACUUACUACACCCCCUCCAAUUCAAACAAGUUACUCCAGGGAUAACAGGCUAAUAUUUCCUGAGAGUACACAUUAACGGAAAUGUUUGGCACCUCGAUGUUGGCUUUGGGUUCCCAUCUUACGAAGAAAUAAGAUCAGGAGGUUCGUUCAACCUCUAACCCCCUACAUGAUCUGAGUUCAAACCGGAGA
rnacentral:rRNA from 1 species